CCCCUGGUGGCUUAGAUGAUUAAGCAUCUGUCUGCAGUGCGGGAGACCCAGGUUCGAUCCCUGGGUUGGGAA
rnacentral:tRNA from 1 species